GAUGAACGCUGGCGGCGUGCCUAAUACAUGCAAGUCGAGCGAACAGACGGGGAGCAUGCUCGUCUGACGUUAGCGGCGGACGGGUGAGUCACAUGUGGAUAACAUACCUAUCAGACUGGGAUAAUUUCGGGAAACCGGAUCUUAUACCGGAGUAUUUAUGGAACCGAAUUGUUCAAUAGUGAAAGUCGGUCGUUCUGUCACUUAUAGACGGCCCAGGGGCGCAUUAGUUAGUUGGGAAGGUAACGGAUUAACAAGGCAAAGAGGCGAAGCCGACCUGAACGGGGAGUAGGCCACCCCGGAACGGAGACACGGUCCAGACUCCUACGGGAGGCAGCGGUAGAGAAUCUUCCGCAAGGGACGAGAGGCGAACGGAGCAACGCCGCGUGAGGGAUGAAGGUCCUCGGAUCGGAGAACUCUGUUGUUAGUAAAGAACAAAAGUGUAAUUAACUAGGAACGUCUUGACGGUACCGAAUGAGAAAGCCACGGCUAACUACGUG
rnacentral:rRNA from 1 species